GAUGAACGCUGGUGGCGUGCCUAACGCAUGCAAGUCGAGCGAUUCUCUUCGGAGAAGAGCGGCGGACGGGUGAGUAACGCGUGGGUAACCUGCUCUGUACACACGGAUAACAUACCGAAAGGUAUGCUAAUACGAGAUAACAUGCUUUUAUCGCAUGGUAGAAGUAUCAAAGCUUUUGCGGUACAGGAUGGACCCGCGUCUGAUUAGCUAGUUGGUGAGGUAACGGCUCACCAAGGCGACGAUCAGUAGCCGACCUGAGAGGGUGAUCGGCCACAUUGGAACUGAGACACGGUCCAAACUCCUACGGGAGGCAGCAGUGGGGAAUAUUGCACAAUGGGCGAAAGCCUGAUGCAGCAACGCCGCGUGAGCGAUGAAGGCCUUCGGGUCGUAAAGCUCUGUCCUCAAGGAAGAUAAUGACGGUACUUGAGGAGGAAGCCCCGGCUAACUACGUG
rnacentral:rRNA from 1 species